rnacentral:misc_RNA from 1 species
GUAUUGAUAGCGCGUGAUUGCGCAAAGAACAUUCUACACUAGGGCGUUUGAUGUUAAAAACGUGAGCACCCCCCCCUCCGAGGAAGGGAGGACACACGCGGUGAUGCACAAAGGGGUAAAAUGGAUGUGCGAGGGCACUCGGGCGUGCACAACCUUUUUUUGGAAGGCCAGCGACAGCCCUUGUACCUUCGUUGUAUGAUAAUGAUCCUUCCGCAGGUUCACCUACGGAAA